rnacentral:rRNA from 1 species
CAGUAGCCGCGGUAAUACGAAGGGUGCAAGCGUUAAUCGGAAUUACUGGGCGUAAAGCGUGCGCAGGCGGUUCGCUAAGACAGAUGUGAAAUCCCCGGGCUUAACCUGGGAACUGCAUUUGUGACUGGCGAGCUAGAGUAUGGCAGAGGGGGGUAGAAUUCCACGUGUAGCAGUGAAAUGCGUAGAGAUGUGGAGGAAUACCGAUGGCGAAGGCAGCCCCCUGGGCCAAUACUGACGCUCAUGCACGAAAGCGUGGGGAGCAAACAGGAUUAGAUACCCGCGUAGUCCCUGUCUCUUAUAC